ensembl:lncRNA
UCCAGUUUGACUGAACUCAGCUGCUGCUGCCGCUGGUGCCCCCCAUCCUUUCAUUUGUUAGAGAGGACUGUUGUGCUCCUCGCCGCUGCGCCGGGUCAUCUGCUGCCCUAAUGCUGGAACCUGCCUCCACCUGCAAAGCAUCAGAGGAGAGAAGGACACACAUAAAGGAGAGAAGGAGACACUUCGUGUCAUUGUUUUUAUUUUGAUUUUAGUUUACCAUACAAUAUUCAGCAGCGGUAUCUACGGUUAGGGUUUAAUAAAAGCUUUGGCAAUAUUCAAGUUAUAAACACAUCACAUGUAUUACGUGUCAUAGAGAGGGUGUUUGCUAACUAGAUGUUGGGGACAUUCAGCGCAUUCAUGCCAACCAUUAUGUUUUUUAGCUUUUGAGUUCUUGAGACUGCAUUUGAGCUCCAAAGUGGCUGAUGUGCAGUCCUCUAUGCCAUUCAGCUACGUCUCUGACAAGGCAGAUGUCUUGGACUGCAGCUUUCUCCUCGCUCUGCUCAGUUCUCCACCUGCUGCAUGUCCUGGUUGAUGUGGCCCUGCAGCCAGCAGCAGAUCUCACCCAACAAUUUGUACUGCUGCCAACUGCAGUCCAACACACUGGAGCUGGAAUACAAUACCAGCCUGAUCAGCAUGCAGACCUGACAGCCUUAGCCGAGCUUCAUUCACAUUUGCUGAAUGAGUGUUUAGUUAAAUCCCACCAGCUGACGGGGCCAGAAUCGACAGCUCCAAAGCCUUUCCUGUGGCCUAGCUAAUGUCCACACCAGAAGUGCAACCUUUGCAAAGCCCAGCCGCGGACAAAGGCGGGACGAGAGAAGCUCCGUAUGUCGUCAUCUUUGAGUAAUGGUGCUGGAACAAAAGGCCGAACUUGAACAG